GACGAACCGUGCGAACGUUGUCCGGACUUACUGGGCGUAAAGGGUGCGUAGGCGGUUGCAUGCGUCCGCGCUGAAAUCCCGAGGCUCAACCUCGGGGCGCGUGCGGAUACGAUGCGACUUGAGGCUCGGAGAGGGUGGGAGAACUCCUGGUGUAGUGGUGAAAUGCGCAGAUAUCAGGAGGAACACCGGUGGCGAAGGCGGGUCUCUGGGCCGUAACUGACGCUGAGGAGCGAAAGCGUGGGGAGCGAACAGG
rnacentral:rRNA from 1 species